rnacentral:rRNA from 1 species
GACGAACGCUGGCGGCGUGCUUAACACAUGCCAGUCGAACGGAAAGGCCCUGCUUUUGUGGGGUGCUCGAGUGGCGAACGGGUGAGUAACACGUGAGUAACCUGCCCUUGACUUUGGGAUAACUUCAGGAAACUGGGCCUAAUACCGGAUAGGAUCUCCUGCUGCGUGGUGGGCGUUGGAAAGUCUCGGCGGUUGGGGAUGGACUCGCGGCUUAUCAGCUUGUUGGUGGGGUAGUGGCUUACCAAGGCAUUGACGGGUAGCCGGCCUGGGAGGGGGACCGGGGACAAGAGGACUGAGAGACGGCCCAGACUGGAAUGGGGGGCAGUGGUGGGGAAUAUGGCACAGUGGGCGGGAGCGUGAGGAAGCAACGCCGGGUGCGGGAAGACGGCCUGUUGGUUGUAAACCGCUUUAGCCUGAGACGAAGCGGGAGUGACGGUACUGGGUGAAGAAGCACCGGCUAACUACGUG